AAGGGGUGUAUAAACAAUUAAAACUGCUAA
rnacentral:tRNA from 1 species